UCCUCCAUUGGAGGAAUUCUACACUGUCACACUUGCAAUACGUCAUCAAUAACAAGCCAAUCGCAUUCCUUCUUUUCAAACAAAAGUACAAUAAAAAUACUUUUUUACAAUCAUGAUGGGACAUAUAUUCUUAAAAGGAUUAAUUUGAUUGGUUUGUUACGCCACGUCACUAAUAUACCCGUUGCAUUCUAGAAUUUUUCCCUCCCUUGUCUUCGAUGCCGCGCGCUUCAAGGCCCCGAUGGAUGCCACGAGGGAUGUAUGGUUUCACAUCAUCUCCUCCAACAAAGUGAGGAUCCUUUAUUGUGAUAAUGCACCGUAUCUCUAAAAAAGUUAUAAGGCUAAAUUACAGAAAAACGUCCCGUUAAAAUUCGAUUUUUUACUUUUUUACUCUGUCAUUUGAAAAUCUAUACUUUACAUUUUUAUAAAAUAAAAUAUAUUUAUAUGGGGUUCGGUGUGAACUGUGAUGACAAAAUGAUCAUUUUGUUCCUCAUCAUUUUGCCUCUCACCAUAUUCACAGGAAAGAAGAUUGAAAAUAUUUUUGACAUAAAAAAAAUAUAAUAAUAUUUUAUAAACGAAAUCCUAACGGAUUACUAAUGGUAAGAGGUAAAGUGAAUAUCUUUUAUUUUACAAGGGGGUAAAGUGUAAGAUUUUAAAUGAGAGAGGGGGAAAGUGAAAAAUCAGAUUUUGACACUACAACAAAAACGGUCUAUAGCGACACUUUUAAAUGUUGGUAUAGGUCAAAAAAAGUGCUGCUGGCUAAAUUACCGACACUUUUAAAAAGUGUUGCUAUAUGUGGGGUCGCUAGAUAUAUAGCGACAGUUAAAGAGUGUCGCUAUAACCUAAAAAAGUGCUGCUAAUUUAGCAACACUUAUUUAAGUAUCUAGCAACCGUCGGAACUCUACCUCGUUGGCUGCGGUGGCUGAGGAGGACGAGAGGGAAGGGCCCUUCGUCUAGAAUUUCAGUGGAUUAAGUGAGGGGAGAAGGGGAGAUAGUAAUCGAUUUUUCUUUUUUUUUCCCUUUCAGUUUGGAAUCGGGCCAAAUGGGUUGCGUUGGGUGGGUUGAGUAUAGUGACCUUUUAUUUUUUUGUUGGAUUCGACUUUAUAUUAAGGCAUUAGUAGAUGUUUUUUUAAAUUUUGACAUAAAUGGAACACUUAGACAAAAGUGUCCCAAACAUGUGUCCCUAUAAACUAACUGUUGUAGUGUGAUCGGAGCAUUUUAUGUAUUUUAGCCAAGUUAUAAUGAGAUUAGUAGUUUUAUAAUAUUU
rnacentral:lncRNA from 1 species